rnacentral:misc_RNA from 1 species
UUUAACGAUUUAUAUCUAGACUCAGACGGCACAGUUAUCAGAAUUUAAGAUGGCUACCGGCGGGCACGGGCCAGGGGCGGUAAAGCCCCCGGCGGCCCCAAAGGGCGGGCCCGCCAAAGCAACGUGGUUGGUUAAACAAAGGGUUGGAGGUCGGGCCUGGAAGACCCUUACUCGGUAAUGAUCCUUCCGCAGGUUCACCUACGGAAA